ACGGGGGGAGCAAGCGUUGUUCGGAUUUACUGGGCGUAAAGCGCACGUAGGCGGCUAAGUAAGUGGGAUGUGAAACCCCUGGGCUUAACCUAGGAAUUGCAUACCAGACUGCUUGGCUAGAGUAUAGGAGAGGGAGGUGGAAUUUCCGGUGUAGCGGUGAAAUGCGUAGAGAUCGGAAGGAACAUCAGUGGCGAAGGCGGCCUCCUGGCCUAAUACUGACGCUGAGGUGCGAAAGCGUGGGGAGCAAACAGGA
rnacentral:rRNA from 1 species